rnacentral:rRNA from 1 species
ACGAACGCUGGCGGCGUGCUUAACACAUGCAAGUCGAGCGGUAAGGCCCUUUCGGGGGUACACGAGCGGCGAACGGGUGAGUAACACGUGGGUGACCUGCCCUUAGCUCUGGGAUAAGCCUGGGAAACUGGGUCUAAUACCGGAUAUGACUCCAUGACGCAUGUUGUGGGGUGGAAAGCCUUGUGCGGCUAGGGAUGGGCCCGCGGCCUAUCGGCUUGUUGGUGGGGUGAUGGCCACCAAGGCGACGACGGGUAGCCGGCCUGAGAGGGCGACCGGCCACACUGGGACUGAGACACGGCCCAGACUCCUACGGGAGGCAGCAGUGGGGAAUCUUGCGCAAUGGGCGAAAGCCUGACGCAGCGACGCCGCGUGGGGAUGACGGCCUC